UUCGAAUACGCAUUGCGGAUAAUAUUUAAGUGAUAAUAUUUUGUAUCAAGUCAUUCCCAUCCGGCACACCGGGAACUGCAGUUAUGGCGACAAUUACACAAACUGUGGAAGAAUUCGUAACUAAACAUGAAAAGACUUUGGAAAUAGAAAUGAAACC